UUAGCAAGUGACAUCGUGACACUUCCGAAACCAACCCAACCGGCAUUUUCCGUCAGCCGAGUCGCUUCUGGUCAAUUCGUAUCACAUUCUGAAGACCAUUGCUCUGUUAAUGCGAUUACUCUUUCAACCAUGUCACCUCGCUGAUAAAACUGUUCGGAGUGGAAAAAAUAAAUGAAUAAAUAACUGUCUCUCGUUUCGUAAUUCUCUGCAUCCUCUAUGUUUCUUCUCUCUUUAUUUGUUUAAUUCAUGCUCCAUAUGCAUUUUUUUAUUCACUUACUAAUGUUUAAAUAUAAUGAAACAGAAAAUAAUCAGGUCUAGUUCAAUAAACACACAAAACAAAAAUAAAUUAGCAAUAAUUUUCUCAGCAACCAAACAGAAUCAUAAACUCAACAAAUCAAAAAAAUUAACAUAAAAAAAAAUUAAUAUGUCUAUAAAAUCAUAACAAUUUACCUCGGUUUUCGUCUUGUUCUUCUUAUUUUAAGAUGAAUCCAUGGGAGCAACUGAUUUGAAUCGAUGGCAGUGGCUUGGAAAAUGGAUGAAAAUCAUAGAGGGGGCUGCUAGAUAGAGAGAAAUCGAGAGAUAAAGUGAUUUUAGGGUUUGAUCUUCUAAAUUUUAAACUGAGGGCAAAAUUGAAAAUUUGGAAAUAUUUUAAGGUUACAAAGGACAAUUCAAU
rnacentral:lncRNA from 1 species